GCCGCGUUAGCGUAGUGGUAGCGCGUCGCACUUGUAGCCUUACUUAUGUGAGAAGCUUUGACAUGCGAAGGUCACUCGUUCAACCCGGGUACGUGGCA
rfam:Laetiporus sulphureus 93-53 unplaced genomic scaffold LAESTscaffold_43, whole genome shotgun sequence.